rnacentral:rRNA from 1 species
AUUGAACGCUGGCGGCAGGCCUAACACAUGCAAGUCGAGCGAGCGGCGGACGGGUGAGUAAUGUAUGGGGACUGCCCGAUAGAGGGGGAUAACUACUGGAAACGGUGGCUAAUACCGCAUACUGUCGGAUAACCCAUAUGGGAUUAGCUAGUAGGUAAGGGAAUGGCUUACCUAGGCGACGAUCCCUAGCUGGUCUGAGAGGAUGAUCAGCAACAUGGGGACUGAGCAACGGCCAAGAGUCCUAGGGAGGAAGCAGUGGGGAAUAUUGCAAAAUGGGCGCAAGCCGGAUGAAGCCAGGCGGGGGGUAUUAAGAAGUCCCUAGGGUUGUAAAGUACUUUCAGUAGGGAGGCGUUACCGACAGAAGAAGCACCGGCUAACUCCGUGCCAGCAGCCGCGGUAAUAC